GCCGAGUCUCGUUAAAACUUUUAUGGUGAAAAUUCAAUGAGAAAAAACUAGUAAAGGAAAAAGAGUGCUCGUCUAAACGGUAGAAAGAAGAAGAUAAAAUGUAGAAAAAGAGUGCUCAUCUAAAUGGUAGAAAGAAGAAGAUAAACGGUAGAAAAAGAGUGCUCGUCCAAAUCACAGAACUAACGAAGAACCCAAAUCCGAAGGACAAGCCCAACUUGCCUGCAAUACAAAACGGUAGAAAGAAGAAGAUAAACAUUUGUUUUAGUUACUUAAUUAUGGUUGUUAUGCCUAUUUUAAUAGGAUAAACUAACUAUAAGAGUAAGAACAAACACAAAUAUAUACUUUUAAUAGUGAAAACUAAAACUGAAAAUGCGAGAAAUGAGAUACCGUACCUGGGUGGACAUUAGUUUUUGAUGAUAAUUGAAGGGACAUGGCUGACUUUGUGGAAAUCUUCUCCUGAUGCCGAUACUCUUUUUGCCAAUUCUGGCAUUCCAUAAAGUAUCAAUUCC
rnacentral:lncRNA from 1 species